UCCCCGUUUUCCGGGGCAGUCCCCUUAGAGUGCCCAACUAAAUGAUGGCAACUAAGGGCGAGGGUUGCGCUCGUUGCGGGACUUAACCCAACAUCUCACGACACGAGCUGACGACAGCCAUGCAGCACCUGUGUUCCCGCCAGCCGAACUGAAGGACCUCAUCUCUAGGCACGUCCUGUGCAUGUCAAACCCAGGUAAGGUUCUUCGCGUUGCAUCGAAUUAAUCCACAUGCUCCGCCGCUUGUGCGGGCCCCCGUCAAUUUCUUUGAGUUUUAGCCUUGCGGCCGUACUCCCCAGGCGGGGUACUUAAUGCGUUAGCUACGGCACGGAUCCCAAGGAAGGAAACCCACACCUAGUACCCACCGUUUACGGCGUGGACUAC
rnacentral:misc_RNA from 1 species